UACGUAGGGGGCGAGCGUUGUCCGGAUUUAUUGGGCGUAAAGAGCGUGUAGGCGGCCGUGUAGGUCUGACGUGAAAUCUGGAGGCUCAACCUCCAGCUGUCGUUGGAAACCGCUCGGCUAGAGUCCGGAAGAGGAGAGUGGAAUUCCUGGUGUAGCGGUGAAAUGCGCAGAUAUCAGGAAGAACACCUAUGGCGAAGGCAGCUCUCUGGGACGGUACUGACGCUGAGACGCGAAAGCGUGGGGAGCGAACAGG
rnacentral:rRNA from 1 species